rnacentral:tRNA from 1 species
GCUGAGGUAGCCAAGCCUGGAUCACGGCGAUAGCCUGGAAGUCGAUUUGGCCAGAGUUCGAAUCUCAUCCUCAGCGCCA